rnacentral:rRNA from 1 species
CGGUCGCGGACUCCAGAGACGGAGUUCUUCAGUUCGGCUGGACCGGAGACAGGUGCUGCAUGGCUGUCGUCAGCUCGUGUCGUGAGAUGUUGGGUUAAGUCCCGCAACGAGCGCAACCCCCGUCCUUAGUUGCUACCAUUUAGUUGAGCACUCUAAGGAGACUGCCGGUGAUAAGCCGCGAGGAAGGUGGGGAUGACGUCAAGUCCUCAUGGCCCUUACGGGCUGGGCUACACACGUGCUACAAUGGCGGUGACAAUGGGAUGCUAAGGGGCGACCCUUCGCAAAUCUCAAAAAGCCGUCUCAGUUCGGAUUGGGCUCUGCAACUCGAGCCCA